rnacentral:rRNA from 1 species
UACGUAGGGUGCGAGCGUUGUCCGGAAUUACUGGGCGUAAAGAGCUCGUAGGUGGUUUGUCGCGUUGUUCGUGAAAACUCACAGCUUAACUGUGGGCGUGCGGGCGAUACGGGCAGACUGGAGUACUGCAGGGGAGACUGGAAUUCCUGGUGUAGCGGUGGAAUGCGCAGAUAUCAGGAGGAACACCGGUGGCGAAGGCGGGUCUCUGGGCCGAUGACUGACGCUGAGGAGCGAAAGCGUGGGGAGCGAACAGG